UAGAUUCUCCAGAGAAAGAACUUCUAUAUGGAAAGAGGCAGAUUGCUGGAAGGAGUAAAUAAUUCACAGACAACUCAUAAGCCCUGAGCUCUGGUCUGUCUCUGCCAAUUAAAUGCUGUGGAACUUUUGGAAAUGAAGAUGAGAUAAAGGCUUUUCAUACCAACAAAAGUGGAAAGAAUUCAUCAUAAGAAGACUUGAGUGAGAAGAAAUGCUAAGAAAGCUCUUCAAGUAGAAGAAAAUGAUACCAGAUGGAAAUCUGGAUCUCCACAAAGGAACAAAAAGUAUUGAGAAUGGGAACUAUCCUAUGUGGACUUUAUUCAUAAUAACCAAUCCUGAGGGAAAAUCUAUAAUGUUCGUCAAAAGAAGGAAAUCCUGGCUGUGCCUAUAAUCACAGCAUUCUGGGAGGCCAAGGCAGGAGGAUCACUUGAGCCCGGGAGUUCAAGACCAGCCUGUGCAACAUAGUGAGAUAUCGUCUCUACAAUUUUUUUUUUAAUUAGCGGGGUGUGUUGACACACACCUGUGGUCCCAGCUACAUGGAAGGCUGAGGUGGAGGAUUGCUUGAGCGCAGGAGGUCAAGGCUGCAGUGGUUUAUGACCACACCAGUCCACUCCAGCCUGGGUGACAGAGCAAGACCCAGUCUCAAAAGAAAAAAGAAGGAAAUCCUGUCAUUCAUGACAUCAUGGAUGAAACUUCAGGGCAUUAUUCUAAGUGAAAUAAGCCAGUCAUAGAAAGACAAAUACUGCAUGAUCUCACUUAGAUGUGUGAUAUGGUCUGGCUCUGUGUUCCCACCCAAAUCUCACCUUGAGUUGUAAUUCCCAUGUGCUGGGGGAGGGACCUCAUGGGAGGUGAUUGAACCAUGGGGCGGUUCCCCUGUGCUGUUCUCAUGAUAGUGAGUGAGUUCUCAUGAAAUCUGAUGAUUUUGUGAGGGGCUUUUCCCCCCUUCGAUCUGCACUUCUCUUGGUCUUCUCCUUCUUGCUGCCAUGUGAAGAAAGACAUGUUUGCUUCCCCUUCUGCCAUGAUUGUAAGUUUUCUGAGGCCAAGCCCUGGGGAACUGUGAGUCAAUUAAACCUCUUUCCUAUAUAAAUUACCCAGUCUCGGGUAUUUCUUCAUAGCUGCGUGAGAACAGACUA
rnacentral:lncRNA from 10 species